CCCGCUGAACUUAAGCAUAUCAAUAAGCGGAGGAAAAGAAACUAACAAGGAUUCCCCUAGUAACGGCGAGUGAAGCGGGAAGAGCUCAAAUUUAAAAUCUGGCAGUCUUUGAUUGUCCGAGUUGUAAUCUAGAGAAGCGUUUUCCGCGCUGGACCAUGCAUAAGUCUCCUGGAAUGGAGCGUCAUAGAGGGUGAGAAUCCCGUAUAUGGCACGGACUGCCGUUGCUCUGUGAUACACUCUCGACGAGUCGAGUUGUUUGGGAAUGCAGCUCUAAAUGGGUGGUAAAUGCCAUCUAAAGCUAAAUAUUGGCGAGAGACCGAUAGCGAACAAGUACCGUGAGGGAAAGAUGAAAAGCACUUUGGAAAGAGAGUGAAACAGUACGUGAAAUUGUUGAAAGGGAAACGCUUGAAGUCAGUCGCGCCGUUCGGGAUUCAGCCUUGCUUCUGCUCGGUUCACUUCCCGUUGGGUGGGUCAACAUCAGUUUUGGUCAGAGGAGAAAGGCUUGGGGAAGGUGGCAGCAUUCGUGCUGUGUUAUAGCCCCUCGUUGUAUACUUUGACUGGGACUGAGGACCGCAGCACGCCUUUGGCCGGGGUUCGCCCACGUACGUGCUUAGGAUGUUGGCAUAAUGGCUUUAAGCGACCCGUCUUGAAACACGG
rnacentral:rRNA from 1 species